rnacentral:rRNA from 1 species
GACGAACGCUGGCGGCGUGCUUAACACAUGCAAGUCGAACGGAAAGGCCCUGCUUUUGUGGGGUGCUCGAGUGGCGAACGGGUGAGUAACACGUGAGUAACCUGCCCUUGACUUUGGGAUAACUUCAGGAAACUGGGGCUAAUACCGGAUAGGAGCUCCUGCUGCAUGGUGGGGGUUGGACAGUUUCGGCGGUUGGGGAUGGACUCGCGGCUUAUCAGCUUGUUGGUGGGGUAGUGGCUUACCAAGGCUUUGACGGGUAGCCGGCCUGAGAGGGUGACCGGCCACAUUGGGACUGAGAUACGGCCCAGACUCCUACGGGAGGGAGGAGUGGAGAAUAGUGCACAAUGGGCGGAAGCCUGAUGCAGCAACGCCGCGUGCGGGAUGACGGCCUUCGGGUUGUAAACCGCUUUCGCCUGUGACGAAGCGUGAGUGACGGUAAUGGGUAAAGAAGCACCGGCUAACUACGUG